AGCAUUGGAUCUUAGUUGGUCUAGUGCAUGCCUCGCAAGCAUAAGGUCCUGGGUUCGAUCCCCAGCACUUCGU
rfam:Mus musculus chromosome 10 genomic contig MG3530_PATCH, GRC reference assembly FIX PATCH for GRCm38.